rnacentral:rRNA from 1 species
UACGGGGGGGGUAAGCGUUGUUCGGAAUUACUGGGCGUAAAGGGCUCGUAGGCGGCCAACUAAGUCAGACGUGAAAUCCCUCAGCUUAACUGGGGAACUGCGUCUGAUACUGGAUGGCUUGGAUCCGGGAGAGGGAUGCGGAAUUCCAGGUGUAGCGGUGAAAUGCUUAGAUAUGACAUAGAACACCUAUUGCGAAGGCAGCUUACUACGCAGAUAUUGACGCUCAUGCACGAAAGCGUGGGGAUCAAACAGG